AUGCAGGUCUCAGAAAAUUAUUUUGUAAUACCUCUCAUAAAACCAAAUAAUAUUUGAAGGUAUUUGAAUAUGUGCAAGUCAUAUGAAAACAAAAUAAAACAUUAUUUGAUGGCUGCCAAAUAUUUGAUGAAGAACCAAAAAACUACAACAGUUAGUUGAACUCGUCUAAAUAUAUGAUCAUAAGCACAUGGUUUGGAGAGCUUUUAGAUAUGCAUCUUCAAAAUGACUAAUAAUUAUAUUUUCAUAAAGAGUGAGACAUAAGGUAAUUCAGUAUCACUUGACAUCAAGUUCCAAGACAUGUGAAGUAACUUUCUGAUUGUUACAAUAGCAACAGUGUUGCUAUAUAGGACAUUGGAAAUUGCUUCAGAAUUUCAUAAUGGAAUUAUUACACAAGUGGAAUAAGGAACAGUCACUAUUCCUAGUAGUUACAAAGAUUCUCAGCUCAUUGUUAUGCAAUUGCCAAAGUAUUAUGUAUCAACAAGCUAAUAAUAAAGGUUGCUCCAAAAGUAGUAACAGUUUUAUUACACAGGCACAAGAACAGGUUAAUGUUAAGUGAGAAUGCUAACAGUAACCAAAUAUGUCUAUCACGUGUCGAAAGGAAACUAAAUAUCCCAAAACUGUCUUCUUGAAUCAACUACAACCAAGCCCAACUCAUCCCAAACCAGCUCAACAGGGUUGAGGUUGGAUGAUUGUGAAGGCCGGGUCAUCUGAUGCAGCACUCCAUCACUCUCCUUCUUGGUCAGAUAGCCCUUACACAGCCUGGAGGUGUGUUUGGUCAUUGUCCUGUUGAAAAACAAAUAACAGUCCCACUAAGCGCAAACCAGAUGGGAUGGCGUAUCUCUACAGAAUGAUGUGGUAGGCAUGCUGGUUGAAGAAAAACUGAGUUUAAAUGUAGUUGGCUAAGGUGUAUGUAAACUUCCGACUUCAACUCAUACAUACAUACAUACAUACCUCAGGAGGCUGCUGAAGGGAGAACGGCUCACAAUAAUGGCCGGAACGGAACAAAUGGGAUAGCAUUUGAUACCAUUCCACUAAUUCUGCUCCAGUCAUUAACAUGAGCCCGUUCUCCCCAUUUAAGGUUCCACCAACCUCCUUUGAUGUAUACAGAAUAUGUCAAAUGACAGACACACAGGCCUUUUCUCAAUUGUAUACUCCUCAAGUCCUUUCUUCUCUUUCCUUGUCUCCUUCUCAAAACCCAUUGGAGAAAAGGUCAGAGGGGUGGGACCUCUUGCUUUCUCAUCCAAUGAGUUUUGAGAAGGAGAUGAGGACAGAGGACGCGAGGAGAAUGCAAAUGAGAAAAGGCCAUUGACAAAUACCUUUGAGAUAGUAUUGGUGGUGUCCUCAUACAAGUACUUGGGAUUUCACCUUGAUUAAACUAUGUCCUUUAAGGUGCACAUUCUACAGCUCCCUUUUAAUUUAGGAACAAGUCUUGUUUUUCAUUUCAAGCAAGGAAAGACUUUGUUGUCGCCUUUUGUUUGGUCGCCUUUGGUGAUGUUCCGUACAUGAAUGGCCCAGGGUGUUACCUGCACACUCUAGACACACUUUACCAUGCUGCUACAAAAUAUGUACCAACACAAGACCUCUUGCACAUGUACCUUAUAUCAGUUAGCAGGAUGGCCAUCCUUAACUGUAAGGCGACAGACUCACUAUAUUUAAGCACUUUAUUCACCAUACAGAUAAUGAACAUCACCAUCUGAGAUCAAAGAAAUGCAUUUUAUAUAAUGUUACCAACACAAGAACGGAGUUUGGUAUGAUAUUUGUGCCUCUGUAACAUUCUCACUCAUCAUUAUUCACAAUUCAUCCAUUGAUAUCCGUAAUCAUGAUAGCAUUCACAUUAACGUAGAAGUGUUCAGAAACAUAUUCUAUUCAUAUUUACAAUAAAAAUGACUCUAAAAUGACAGACUGACCAAGUCAAUUUAGGGGAAAACUAUGAUCCUUUGUUGAUGUCACUUGUUAAAUCCACUUCAAUCAGUGUAGAUGAAGGGGAGGAGACUUGUUAAAGAAGGAUUGUUAAGCCUUGAGACAAAUGAGACGGAUUGUGGAUUGUGUAUGUGUGCCAUUAAGAGGGUGAAUGGGAAAGACAAAAGAUUUAAGUGUCUUUGAAUGGGGUAUGGUAGUAGGUGCCAGGUUUUUCACGCUCAACAGUUUCCCAUGUGUAUCAAAGAUGGUCCACCACCCAAAGGACAUCCAGCCAACUUGAAACAGCUGUGGGAAGCAUUGGAGUCAACGUGGGCCAACAUCCCUGUGGAACGCUUUGACACCUUGUAGAGUCCAUGCCCCGACGAAUUGAGGCGGUUCUGAGGGCAGAAGCGCAACUCAAUAAUAGGAAGGUAUUCUUAAAUGUUUUGUACACUUAGUGUACAUUAUCUAACAUUCAUUUAUAUUGCGUAAUCUGACACACAACCAAAACAAACUGCAAAUGCAUCCAACAAGUUUGUAGAGUCACAAACUUGAUAAGGUCAUUGCGUGCUAGGAAUAUGAGACUUUAAUACACAUAUAAGUGAAUUUGUCCAAAUACUUAUGACACCUUCAGAUGGGUUGGGAAAAGAUACAUAAGGUGCUUUCAUUUCUAAACGGUAAAAAAGAUAUGUAUGAACAUACCUUCAAAUACAAGGUGACAUUAUUCUGUACUGUCAAAUCCAAAAUGCUGGAGUAUGGAGCCAAAUUAAAAGUUUUAGCUUCACUGUCCAAAUAAAUACCUACAAAUGUACUGUAUAUGCUUUCACCUUAUAUAUAUAUAUAUAUAUAUAUAUAUUCACACCAUCUUUUCUUCCUCUGAUGCUUUCUGAGGGAGCCAGAGGGGGCUGUGUUUGUACAAGCCAGCGGAACAAAUCAGAACAAAUCGGAACAAAUCAUGCAGGCUAGUCAACGUUUGAUCAGCCCAUUCCUGCCACGUCACCCACUGCUCACACCAGGAAAAAAACAAAGAUUCAACGGAUCACAACCGGCUGUGAUUGGGAGUCCCAUAGGGCAGCGCACAAUUGGCCCAGCGUCGUCCUGGUUUGGCUGGUGUAGGCCGUCAUCAUCAAUAAGAAUUUGUUCUUAACUGACUGGCCUAGUUAAAUAAAGGUAAAAGUCUCAAAAUAAACUGUCCAGAUGGUCUGAGAGCAAUUCCAAGAUGGAAAAGUAGAAAACCCACCAUGACAUAGCCUACUUUGGGGUUCAAAUAUAAGCUCCGCUUCUGUGCGUAAGGGUUGACGAUGUCAGCUGACUCAACAGAGCACUGUCACAAUGAAUAACUUCAAAGAACUUCUUUGUGUUAAAGAACUUCAAACAUCAUGUAGGGAUCUGAUUGGCUGAUGAGGCUGCUGGUGCACAGAACAGAGAAUGGCAGCAGUGACCUAAAAGAACCCCAGGUCUGUUUGAAUCUCUAGCUCAGAAAAGAGGGACACAUGCUUUUUUCAGAGUACAACAACCCAUCCUUUCAGAGCGAGAGAGAGAGUGAGAGAUGAGAGAGCCCAAGCGGGCGAUACAGCGAAAGAGGGAGAGAGAGCUCCAUUCAAGCACACAAACCAACUUUUGGAGACUCAAUUUCAGUUAUUGCCAAGGGCUAGAUAUUGUUUGUGAUAGUUGACAAUACAGCAGUAAUACAUGAACCAUAACUGAUUCUGUAGACUUAAUAUCAGAAAGUAUGAAUAGCUCUAUGAGACAGCUGUUGUUCUCAUUGGCAUUAAUGAUGAUGAUGUCACUCCCAUGUCCCCACUCCGUACCCCAACAAUGGUGACCCCCCCAGGCGGGGGCUGAUGUUCACACAGACUGGUCCUUUCAGGGGGUUCCAAUCCUAACCAGCAGCCGUGAAAUUCCCCAUUAUUGCGGCUCUUUCACUGGGAAGUCUCAUCUCUCCCCUGGGCGCCCGUCCUGCCCUGCCCUCCCUAUUCAGGACGCCUGCCAAACACACAAACCAAACACAGGAACCAGAGUCUUUUUCUGCUGGAGGGUCUGGUUUAAUCCCAAUCUGGUCUGGGUCUGGGUGAAUAACAGCCUCGGCCUCAAGUAGUGUACAGUGCAUUGGGAAACUAUUCAGACUCCUUCCCUUUCCCCACGUUUUGUUACAUUACAGCCUCGUUGAUAAAUGGAUUAAAAAAAUAUUUCCUCAUCAACCUACACACAAUAACCCAUAAUGCCAAGGAUGUACAAAGCUGUCAUCAAGGCAAAUGGUGGCUACUUUGAAGAAUCUCACACAUAAAAUAUAUAUUGAUUUGUUUAACGCUUUUUUGGUUAUUACAUGAUUCCAUAUGUGUUAUGUCAUAGUUUUGAAGUCUUCACUAUUAUUCUACAAUGUAUAAAAUAGUACAAAUAAAGAAAACCCCUUGAAUGAGUAGAUGUGUCCAAAGUUUUGACUGGUACUGUAUAUAUACACUACCUGGUCUAAAUGGUACUGAACACUGUGUCGGUGGGCUUAGCAGACCAGGCUGUGGAUCGUUUCUGGCCUGAUUUCUGGCCUGAUUUGGGGGGCUAGCAGAUCCUGGCUACAGCAUGAUAGAUGUGGCUCUGAACGCUUUCUCCUUACUGUGUGUCAGGCCCAGUUACCAGAACCCUGCAUCUCUUAAAAGUUUGGGGUCACUUAGAAUGUCCAGGUUUUUGAAAGAAAAGCAUUUUUUUUGUCCAUUAAAAUAACAUCAAAUUGAUCAGAAAUACAGUGUAGACAUUGUUUAUGUUGUAAAUGACUAUUGUAGCUGGAAAUGGCCGAUUUUUUAUGGAAUAUCUACAUCGGCGUAGAGGCCCAUUAUCACCAACCAUCACUCCUGUGUUCCAAUGGCACGUUGUGUUAGCUAAUCCAAGUGUAUAAUUUUAAAAGGCUAAUUGAUCAUUAGAAAAUCCUUUUUCAAUUAUAUUAGCACAGCUGAAAACAGUUGUGCUGAUUAAAGAAGGCCAGCAUCCCGGCGUCGCCUCUUUGCUGUUGACGUCGAGACUGGUGUUUUGCGAGUACUAUUUAAUGAAGCUGCCGGUUGAGGACUGUGAGGCGUCUGUUUCUCAAACUAGACACUCUAAUGUCCUUGUCCUCUUCCUCCGUUGUGCACCGGGGCCUCCCACUCCUCUUUCUAUUCUGGUUGCGCUGUUUUGUGAAGGGAGUAGUAAACAGCGGUGUACGAGAUCUUCAGUUUCUUGGCAAUUUCUCGCAUGGAAUAACCUUAAUUUCUCAGAACAAGAAUAGACUGAUGAGUUUUAGAAGAAAGACUUUGUUUCUGGCCAUUUUGAGCCUGUAAUCGAACCCACAAAUGCUGAUGCUCCAGAUACUGAACGAGUCUAAAGAAGGACAGUUUUAUUGCUUCUUUAAUUAGCACGACAGUUUUCAGCUGUGCUAACAUAAUUGCAAAGGGUUUUCUAACUUGGAUUAACUAACACAACGUGCCAUUGGAACACAGGAGUGAUGGUUGCUGAUAAUGGGCCUCUACACCUAUGUAGAUUUUCCGGCUACAAUAGUAAUUUACAACAUUAACCAUGUCUACACUGUAUUUCUGAUAAAUUUUAUGUUAUUGUAAUGGACAAAACAUGUGCUUUUCUUUCAAAAACCUGGACAUUUCUAAGUGACCCCAAACUUUUGAACGGUAUUGUAUAUAAACAAUUACUUAAACCAAAUAUAAACUACGUAGACAUGAUAAUGGACCUACAUUCCUACAGUUUCCUGACUGUGUCCAGCUCUCUAAUAUUUACUGAAAUGAAAGCUAGACAGUCACAGAACAUAUACAAUUCCCAAAGCGAUGGAAAGAGGAUAAUUCUUUACACAUUUUUACAGUGGAGAAAUAUACAAAAAAUUCAGUGCGGACUUCCAGAACGCAUUGAAUACCAAAUAUGGCCCCCGGGGCAAAAUUAGUUUCACACCCCUGGUCUAAAUGGUACUGAACACUGUGUCGGUGGGCUUAGCAGGCCAGGCUGUGGAUCGUUUCUGGCCUGAUUUGGGGGGCUAGCAGAUCCUGGCUACAGCAUGAUAGAUGUGGCUCUGAACGCUUUCUCCUUACUGUGUGUCAGGCCCAGUUACCAGAACCCUGCGUCUCAAUCACACUGGCCUACAGCUGGGAACUGUUCUGGGGCUGUGACAGGCCCAUUCUUCACCAGGAUAGAGUGGAGAGGACCUGAGCCCUAGGACCAUGCCCCAGGACUACCUGACAUGAUGACUCCUUGCUGUCCCCAGUCCACCUGGCCAUGCUGCUGCUCCAGUUUCAACUGGCCUGGGCCCUACGACCAUGUCCCAGGACUACCUGACAUGAUGACUCCUUGCUGUCCCCAGUCCACCUGACUGUGCUGCUACUCCAGUUUCAACUGUUCUGCCUUAUUAUUAUUCGACCAUGCUGGUCAUUUAUGAACAUUUGAACAUCUUGGUCAUGUUCUGUUAUAAUCUCUACCCGGCACAGCCAGAAGAGGACUGGCCACCCCACAUAGCCUGGUUCCUCUCUAGGUUUCUUCCUAGGUUUUGGCCUUUCUAGGGAGUUUUUCCUAGCCUCCGUGCUUUUACACCUGCAUUGUUUGCUGUUUGGGGUUUUAGGCUGGGUUUCUGUACAGCACUUUGAGAUAUCAGCUGAUGUACGAAGGGCUAUAUAAAUAAAUUUGAUUUGAUUUGAUUUGACACUCUAGACCCAAUCUGUUACAGGCUUAUAUCCAUCCUGCCCUGCCUUCCUAAAGUCUUUGAAAGCCAAGUUAACAAACAGAUCACUGACCAUUUCAAAUCCCACCGUACCUUCUCCGCUGUGCAAUCCUGUUUCCGAGCUGGUCAUGGGUGCACCUCAGCCAUGCUCAAGGUAUUAAACGAUAUCAUACCCGCCAUCAAUAAAAGACAGUAUUGUGCAGCCGUCUCCAUCAACCUGGCCAAGGCUUUUGACUCUGUUGGUUUCUUGGCCUUGGUUUCUCAAAUGACUGCCUCGCCUGGUUCACCAACUACUUCCCAGAUAGAAGUCGGAGGACCUGCUGUCCGAACCUCUGGCAGUCUCUAUGGGGGUACCACAGGGUUCCAUUCUCGGGCCGACUCUUUUCUCUAUAUAUAUUAACGAUGUCGCUCUUGCUGCGGGUGAUUCCUUGAUCCACCUCUAUGCAGACGACACUAUUCUGUAUUCAUCUGGCCCUUCUUUCGACACUGUAUUAUCAAACCUCCAAACGAGCUUCAAUGCCAUACAACACUCCUUCCGUGGCCUCCAACUACUCUUAAAUGCUUGUAAAGCUAAAUGCAUGCUCUUCAACCGAGCGAUGCCCGGACCCGCCCGCCCGACUAGCAUCACUACUCUUAGAAUAUGUGGAGAUCUUCAAAUACCUAGGUGUCUGGCUAGACUGUAAACUCUCCUUCCAGACUCACAUUAAGCAUCUCCAAUCCAAAAUGUAAUCUAGAAUUGGCUUCCUAUUUCGCAACAAAGCCUCCUUCACUCAUGCAGCUGAACAUACCCUUGUAAAACUGACUAUCCUACCGAUCCUCGACUUCGGCGAUGUCAUUUACAAAAUAACCUCCAACACUCUACUCAGCAAAGUGUAUUCAGUCUAUCACAGUGCCAUCCGUUUUGUCACCAAAGCCCCAUAUACAACCAACCACUGCAACCUGUAUGCUGUCAUCGGCUGGCCCUCGCUACAUAUUCGUCGCCAAACCCACUUGCUGCAGGUCAUCUAAGUCUUUCCUAGGUAAAGCUCCACCUUAUCUCAGCUCUCUGGUCACCAUCGCACCAAAGUACGUUCAUCUCUAUGAGACAGAACGCGUCUCCUUCCUGAGCGGUAUGACGGCUGCAUGGUCCAAUGGUGUUUAUACUUGCGUACUAUUGUUUGUACAGAUUAACGUGGUACCUUCAGGCAUUAGGACAUUUCUACCAAGGCUGAACCAGACUUGUGGAGGUGUACAAUUUUUUUUAUUGAGGUCUUGGUUGAUUUCUUUUGAUUUUCCCAUGAUGUCAAGCAAAGAGGCACUGAGUUUGAAGGUAGGCCUUGAAAUACAUCCACAGGUACACCUCCAAUUGAUUCAAAUUAUGUCAAUUAGCCCAUCAGAAGCUUCUAAAGCCAUGACACAAUUUUCUGGAAAUUUCCAAGCUGUUUAAAGGCAAAGUCAGCUUAGUGUAUGUAAACUUCUGACCCACUGGAUUUGUGAUACAGUGAGUUAUAAGUGAAAUAAUCUGUGUUAAAUUGCACAAAGUAGAUGUCCUAACCAAUUUGCCAAAACUGUAGUUUGUUUACAAGAAAUUUGAGAUGUUGUAAAACAAGUUUUAAUGACUCCAACCUAAGUGUGUGUAAACUUCCGACUUCAACUGUAUAUCUCACUUGUCAUCCCCAAAGCCAACACCCCCUUUGGCCGCAUUUCCUUCCAGUUCUCUGCUGCCAAUAAUUGGAACGAAUUGCAAAAAUCGAGGAUGUUGGAGAUUUAUAUCUCCCUCACUAACUUUAAGCAUCAACUAUCUGAGCAGCUUACCAAUCACUGCAGCUGUACACAGCCCAUCUGUAAAUAGCCAAUCCAACUACCUACCUCAUCCCCAUAUUGUUUUUAUUUACUUUUUUUGCUAUUUUGCACACCAGUAUUUCUACUUGCAUCAUCAUCUGCACGUCUAUCACUCCAGUGUUAAUUGCUUAAUUGUAAUUUCUUCGCUACUAUGUUCUAUUUAUUGCCUUACCUCCUUAUUCCAUUUGCACACACUGUAUGUACAUUUUUCUAUUGUGUUAUUGACUUUUUGUUUUUCUCAUGUGUAACUCUGUGUUGUUGUUUUUUGUUGCACUGCUUUGCUUUAUCUUUGCCAGGUCGCAGUUGUAAAUGAGAACUUGUUCUCAACUGGCCUACCUGGUUAAAUAAAGAUUUUCAUCUAUCCAAA